UACGAAGGGGGCUAGCGUUGCUCGGAAUCACUGGGCGUAAAGGGUGCGUAGGCGGGUCUUUAAGUCAGGGGUGAAAUCCUGGAGCUCAACUCCAGAACUGCCUUUGAUACUGAGGAUCUUGAGUACGGGAGAGGUGAGUGGAACUGCGAGUGUAGAGGUGAAAUUCGUAGAUAUUCGCAAGAACACCAGUGGCGAAGGCGGCUCACUGGCCCGUUACUGACGCUGAGGCACGAAAGCGUGGGGGAGCAAACAGG
rnacentral:rRNA from 1 species